rnacentral:tRNA from 1 species
ACACUGGUGGUUCAGUGGUAGGAUUCAUGCCUUCCAUGCGGGAGACCCAGGUUCAAUUCCAGGCCCAUGCA